CCUACGGGAGGCAGCAGUGGGGAAUAUUGGACAAUGGGGGCAACCCUGAUCCAGCCAUGCCGCGUGUGUGAAGAAGGCCCUCGGGUUGUAAAGCACUUUCAGUGAGGAAGAACGCCUGGUGGUUAAUACCCAUUAGGAAAGACAUCACUCACAGAAGAAGCACCGGCUAACUCCGGGCCAGCAGCCGCGGUAAUACGGAGGGUGCGAGCGUUAAUCGGAAUUACUGGGCGUAAAGCGCGCGUAGGUGGCUUGAUAAGCCGGUUGUGAAAGCCCCGGGCUCAACCUGGGAACGGCAUCCGGAACUGUCAAGCUAGAGUGCAGGAGAGGAAGGUAGAAUUCCCGGUGUAGCGGUGAAAUGCGUAGAGAUCGGGAGGAAUACCAGUGGCGAAGGCGGCCUUCUGGACUGACACUGACACUGAGGUGCGAAAGCGUGGGUAGCAAACAGGAUUAGAUACCCUGGUAGUC
rnacentral:rRNA from 1 species